rfam:Oryza sativa Japonica Group DNA, chromosome 2, cultivar: Nipponbare, complete sequence.
AAAAAGACAAACUCUGGUUUCCGUUCCCAACGUUUGACCGUCCGUCUUAUUUGAAAAAAUUAUAAAAAAAAACUAAAAAGACAAGUCACACAUAAAAUAUUAAUCAUGUUUUAUCAUCUAACAACAAUAAAAAUACGAAUUAUAAAAAUAAUUCAUAUAAGACGGACAGUUAAAGUUGGACACGGAAACCCAUGGUUUGUCUUUUU